rnacentral:lncRNA from 1 species
GCCGUACUUUAACCUAUAAUGGUUUACUUUUUAAAUUGUUAUUUGUAUGGAGAGUUGUCUCAUUGGCACUCACACCACAUCUUCCUAUAUCUAUACCUGCCAACUUUUCAAAAUGCCCAUGGGGGUUUUGCGUGCAAGAUGGCUGUCAUACUCCUAAAAAAACUUCAAGGGGGCCUGCAAAUACAUUUUAAUGUUGUUUUUUGGCUUCAUAUACUUUUAUAAGCCUAAAGUCAUUGUAAAAUUAGUUGUUUUGUUUAAAUUGUGGACAAAACUGCUCUUUCAAAAUUUCAAUUUGGGAGCCUCCAUGGGGGAAAUCCCCCGCAAAUAGUGACAGUUGGCAGGUAUGC